AGAGUUUGAUCAUGGCUCAGAAUGAACGUUGGCGGCGUGGAUUAGGCAUGCAAGUCGAGCGAGUCUACUUGAUAGCAAUAUUAGGUAAGUCGAGCGGCGUAAGGGGCAGUAAUACCUGGGAACGUACCCUGAGGUCGGGGAUAGCUGCUAGAAAUGGCGAGUAAUACCCGAUGAUCUCGAGAGAGCAAAGGCUUGCCGCCUUCGGAGCGGCCCAGGCGAUAUUAGCUAGUUGGUGGGGUAAUGGCCUACCAAGGCAUAGAUGUCUAGCGGGUGUGAGAGCACGACCCGCGCCACUGGCACUGAGACACUGGCCAGACACCUACGGGUGGCUGCAGCCGAGAAUCUUCGGCAAUGAGCGCAAGCUUGACCGAGCGACGCCGCGUGCGGGAUGAAGGCCUUCGGGUUGUAAACCGCUUUGGUCCGAAAGAAAGGGCAACUUGAUCGAUCGGAGAAACAAGGACGGGCUAAGUUCGUGCCAGCAGCCGCGGUAAGACGAACCGUCCAAACGUUAUUCGGAAUUACUGGGCUUAAAGGGCGCGUAGGCGGCCGAGCGGGUCACGGGUGAAAUCCUCCAGCUUAACUGGAGAACUGCCCUUGAUACCACUGCGGCUCGAGGAAGGAAGGGGCAAUCGGAACUGUCGGUGGAGCGGUGAAAUGCGUUGAUAUCGACAGGAACGCCGGUGGCGAAAGCGGAUUGCUGGUCCUUUUCUGACGCUGAGGCGCGAAAGCCAGGGGAGCAAACGGGAUUAGAUACCCCGGUAGUCCUGGCCUUAAACGAUGAGAACUAGGUAGUGGGUCCGACCUGGGCACACUGCCGAAGCGAAAGUUUUAAGUUCUCCGCCUGGGGAGUAUGGUCGCAAGGCUGAAACUCAAAUGAAUUGACGG
rnacentral:rRNA from 1 species